rnacentral:rRNA from 1 species
GAUCCUGGCUCAGGAUGAACGCUAGCUACAGGCUUAACACAUGCAAGUCGCGGGGCAGCACUGUGGUUGCUUGCAACCACUGGUGGCGACCGGCGCACGGGUGAGUAACGCGUAUCCAACCUGCCCUGCAGUGGGGAACAGCCCGGCGAAAGUCGGAUUAAUGCCCCCAUGGCGUCCUCGGCGGGCAUCUAAUGAGGACUAAAGGCUUCGGCCGCUGCGGGAUGGGGGAUGCGUAGGAUUAGGCAGGCGGCGGGGCGACGGCCCACCGCGCCGACGAUCCUUAGGGGUUCUGAGAGGAAGGUCCCCCACACUGGUACUGAGACACGGACCAGACUCCUACGGGAGGCAGCAGUGAGGAAUAUUGGUCAAUGGGCGCGAGCCUGAACCAGCCAAGUAGCCGUGCAGGAAGACGGCCCUACGGGUUGUAAACUGCUUUUAUGCGGGGAUAAAGUGGGCUACGCGUAGCCCUUUGCAGGUACCGCAUGAAUAAGGACCGGCUAAUUCCGUGCCAGCCGCGGC